rnacentral:tRNA from 1 species
GACCGCGUAGCUCAGUUGGCAGAGCAUUGGGCUAGUAUUCCAAAGGUCGUAGGUUUGAUUCCCACUGUGGCCA